rnacentral:rRNA from 1 species
CAGCCGCCGCGGUAAUACAGAGGAUGCAAGCGUUAUCCGGAAUGAUUGGGCGUAAGUGUCUAUAGGUGGCUUUUCAAGUCCGCCGUCAAAUCCCAGGGCUCAACCGUGGACAGGCGGUGGAAACUACCAAGCUGGAGUACGGUAGGGGCAGAGGGAAUUUCCGAUGGAGCGGUGAAAUGCGUUGAGAUCGGAAGGAACACCAACGGAGAAAGCACUCUGCUGGGCCGACACUGACACUGAGAGACGAAAUCUAGGGGAGCAAAUGGGAUUAGAUACCCCAGUAGUCCCUGUCUCUUAUACC